ACUGUACAUAAAAUAUCAAAAAGUACACCAAAUAUAUAUUAUAUACUGUACAUAAAAUAUCAAAGUACACCAAAUACAUGUUAUAUACUGUACAUAAAAUAUCAAAGUACACCAAAUACUUAUUAUAUACUGUACAUAAAAUAUCAAAGUACCCAAAAUACAUAUUAUAUACUGUACAUAAAAUAUCAAAAAGUACACCAAAUACAUAUUAUAUACUGAACAUAAAAUAUCAAAUUACACCAAUUACAUAUUAUAUACUGUACAUAAAAUAUCAAAGUACACGAAAUAUAUAUUAUAUACUCUAC
rnacentral:lncRNA from 1 species